rnacentral:rRNA from 1 species
UACGUAGGGGGCAAGCGUUGUCCGGAAUCAUUGGGCGUAAAGAGCGUGUAGGCGGCCAGAUAAGUCCGCUGUGAAAACUCGAGGCUCAACUUCGAGCUGUCAUCGGAAACCAUCUGGCUAGAGUCCGGAAGAGGAGAGUGGAAUUCCUGGUGUAGCGGUGAAAUGCGCAGAUAUCAGGAAGAACACCAAUGGCGAAAGCAGCUCUCUGGGACGGUACUGACGCUGAGACGCGAAAGCGUGGGGAGCGAACAGG